GUGAUCCGGGUCACGGCACCAAUAUAACAGUAUAACUUUAGACCGUCCCCUCGCCCAUACCCGGGCGUGAACCAGGGACCCUCUGCACACAUCAUCAACAGUCACCCUCGAAGCAUCGUUACCCAUCCCUCCACAAAAACCACAGCCCUUGCAGAGCAAGGGGAACUACUACUUGAAGGCCCUUCAUUCCAAAACCUGAAGCCCAGGAAAGACCAGGAAAAAGUGUUGGCUUAAGGCUCAGUGGGUGACCGGUAACAAUGAUUCAACCAAGCUGUUCCAGGCCUGGAGUGGCACGCUGGAACUUCCAGAGGCUUGUAGACCUGAAGCAGUGUGAUGUGAUCCAGAUCUGACAUCCCUAUUAGCUCAACCACAGUCCUCACAGCUGAAGUCGUCUGCCCCUGCACCUGCUACACCAGCCACGACAGGUGAUACAGAUCUGCCACCCCCAGCAGUUCAGCUGCAGUCACAGCAGUCCUCUGCUGUGGUAUUUCAUUUACCGGCUGCACCAGUUCCUACUACACUGGCCAUGAAGGGAGAUACUAUUGAGGAGACCCAGAUGGAUACAGAUCUGCCAUGCACUCCACCCAGUGCCUGACAGACUCAUCUCUGAGAAAGCAGAGAUGGGUGGCUGACAAGGAAAAAUAAAACACAACACACACUCUCUCUCUCUGUCAUACACACUCACACACGUUAUCCCCAGUGUAAAUGAGUUGUAUUUACUUGUUUAUUUUAUGUUUGCUCAAUUUGAUUUUAGGAUUUGAGAUAUCUAUUCC
ensembl:lncRNA